GGUUGGAUAGCUCAGUUGGUAGAGCACUGGAAUGGUAAUCCAGAGGUUGCAGGUUCAAAUCUUGCUUCAGUCA